AGCGAACGCUGGCGGCAGGCCUAAUACAUGCAAGUCGAACGGAUCCUUCGGGAUUAGUGGCGGACGGGUGAGUAACACGUGGGAACGUGCCCUUUGGUUCGGAACAACUCAGGGAAACUUGAGCUAAUACCGGAUAAGCCCCUUCGGGGGGAAAGAUUUAUCGCCAUUGGAGCGGCCCGCGUAGGAUUAGCUAGUUGGUG
rnacentral:rRNA from 1 species